rnacentral:rRNA from 1 species
AUUGAACGCUGGCGGCAGGCUUAACACAUGCAAGUCGAACGAGUGGCGGACGGGUGAGUAAUGCUUGGGAAUCUAGCUUAUGGAGGGGGAUAACUACGGGAAACUGUAGCUAAUACCGCGUACCAUAGGAUGAGCCCAAGUGGGAUUAGGUAGUUGGUGAGGAAAAGGCUCACCACGCCGACGAUCUCUAGCUGGUCUGAGAGGAUGACCGGCAACACUGGGACUGAGACACGGCCCAGAUUCCUACGGGAGGCAGCAGUGGGGAAUAUUGCGCAAUGGGGGCAUCCCUGACGCAGCCAUGCCGCGUGAAUGAAGAAGGCCUUCGGGUUUUAAAGUACUUUCAGCGAGGAGGCGUUACCCGCAGAAGAAGCACCGGCUAACUCCGUGCCAGCAGCCGCGGUAAUUC